ensembl:lncRNA
AUGUACAGAAUUUCCAGGCCUAGACCAGGAGACCUCCUGCUGCUCCUUUAUUCUCUCUUCACACAGGUGUUGACUCCAUGCAGAGGAUGGGAGGCCCUAGAGGAUGGUAGGUCAACACGGAUCAUGGGCCCCAAAUUACCUCACAGAAGGCCAGCUGCCAAAUACCUGUAUUCAACAACUGUGUCAGUGAAGCUGAGAAACAAUAAGAAACAGUAUUUAUAUGACUGUGGAGGAACUUAGGAAAGCCACGAGGAUGCCUGGAAUUGGGAGGAUCAAUGGGUAAAGAUGGAUUUAUGUUGUAUUCUUUUAAGUGGUGCUAUAAUCUCAGACCUCAGGUUCUGCCUUCAGAGUGACAUAAACCUAAUAACCUUCCCCAUCCUUGGAAACAUUUCUUAUUCUCCAAUAUCCAAGGUGAUUUCUUCUGCUUCAAUCUCUUGAACCACUGUGAACCAUUCCUAAGACCAUACAAAUACUGCCUUGCUUUAUAGGUACAGCAGACACCCUCAAUUGCUUACUCAAUAGUCAUUUUGCCCUUUCUCUUUUUUUUCUUUUUUUAAUGUUUAUUUUUGAAAGAGAGAGACAGACAGAGUGUGAGCAGGGAAGGGGCAGAGAGAGAGGGAGACACAGAAUCCAAAGCAGGUUCCAGGAUCUGAGCUGUCAGCACAGAGCCUGAAGGCGGGGGGGGGGGGGGGGGGCUCAAACUCAUGGACCAGGAGAUCAUGACCUGAGCCAAAGUCAGACACUUACCUGACUGAGCCAUCCAGGUGCCCCAUCGUUCUUUCUCCAUGUAAACAAAACCCCAAAUUUGUUUGACUAGGCAUCCUCUUCUACUUGGCUGUGUACCUUACUGGACAAAUCAUGGCAAUCCUAUUUCUCUCACCAGUCCUUGCUUAGGAAUAAGCAGAGAGAUCAUUCUGUGAUGACUAAGAUGUGAGGAGGAAUCUAUUGGAGGGAUUCUAGGAAAGGUUUCUCAGCUUAAAAAAAAGGACACAUGGGCAAAAUCAUCAUGCUGCUGCUGAACGCUGACAUAGCUACAUGUGCUUGGAACUGGGAUAAGAGUUAUGCAACCAUAUAGGGUACUAGUCAAGGAAAAGUCAACUAACAACAGCAGAGUGGAAAGAUACAAAGAACUAACAUCCUUGAUGUCAUGAAGGCAACCGAAUCAGCCAACCUGGAGCUCCCCAUUUGAGGACUUACAAAUGUUCUCACUGCUUACACAUUUUGACUUGAAUUUUCUAGUUUUCUAUUACUUACAGCUGAAAGUACAAUAAUUGGUAAAACAUGUAUGUGUGUAUUUAUACUCUGUGGGUUAGAUUUCAUAGUAAACACCUUUAUUAUUACCCACAAUGCCUGACAUAUACCAGUGUCAAUGAAUGCCGGUUUCUUGAAGAGGUAACUACAUGGAUGGAUACAUAUGCCAGUCUUAAUACUAGCUAUAUUCCCUAGCUUAGUAAAUCGCAGGUACAUAAGCCAGAAAUCUAUUCUAUAUGCGUCCCUAUUCCCCUCUCUCCAUAGCCAAUUCAUCUUUAAGUUCUGUUAAUUUUGCCUUCUAGAUUCAUCUCAAAUCCAUUUAAUUCUUUUCAUUUCUACCACCAUUCUAUUUCAAGCUACUAUCAUGUCUUAACUGGACUAGUGCAGUAGCUUUCCAACUAGCUUCCUGAAAUUUCAUAAAUCUAUUCUCCACACUGCAGCCAAAGGGAAUCUUUCAAAAUGCUAAAUUCCCUACUUCCCCCAACUCCAUCCUUGAUUAAAGUUACCCCUUAACAAAAUUCCAAAAUACAUAAAAUUCCACAGGCCCACAUGGUCUGAUGCCAUCUAUCUUUCAAUGUUACCUCUUGCCCUUGAUAUUCUAGCCAGACAAGCCUCCUAUUGAUUCCCCGAUGUACCCUGCUUUGCACAUGGUAUUCUAUCUGCCUGGCAGGGUCUCCCCACUUGCACUCCUACACAGUCACAUAUGCCGUGUGUUCCAUCUACCAUUUUUCAGGUCAGUCUUGUCUUUCUUCUACUCUCUGAGUAGAUGACUCUCUGUUGUGCACUUUGCUAACACCACAUACCUUUCAGUCAUACUCAAGAUGACUGUACAACCUGAGACACUUCUGAUACUGAAUGGGGGUACUAUUAAUAAGUACACUGAGACAACAGGAAUGGAGAGAGAUUUUCCUGGACUAAUAUACCAUUUGGCCACCCAAGUCUUUAUACUUAUUUUUUUGUUUUUAGUGUUUUCAUUUAAAGUCUGCAUGUCCCAGAUCUCUACAUGGGCAGAGACCAUGACCUUCUGUUCCCACUAUCACAUUCUCCAUGCCUAGCACAGUCCAGAUUCAACCAAGGACACUCAAUAAAUACUUAUUGGAAGAACA